rfam:TPA: Bos taurus chromosome 11, whole genome shotgun sequence.
UCCCUGGUGGUCCAGUGGCUAAGACUCCAUGCCUCCAACGCAGGAAGCCCGGGUUCAAUCCCUGGUCAGGGCA